CAGUCAUGUCUGCCAGGACUCAGCCUUGCUUCUGCUUGGUGUACUCUCUGGUUUGACGGGCCAACAUCAAUUUUGACCGUUGGAGAAAGGCUUUGGGAAUGUGGCACCCUCGGGUGUGUUAUAGCCCUUUGUUGUAUACAACGGUUGGGAUUGGAGGACUGCAGCACGCCUUUGGUCGGGGUUCGCCCACGCCACGUGCUUAGGAUGCUGGCAAAAUGGACUUUAAACGACCCGUCUUGAAACACGGACCAAGGAGUCUAACAUAUAUG
rnacentral:rRNA from 1 species